GGAGGACAAAAAAAGAGGAGAAAUCUUUUUUUUUUUUUUUUAAAGAUCUGUCUUCUAAAUUGCCAAUUAUUUAUAUACUGUGUCCAUUAAACAGUUAAGCUAAAAUAAUUUGGUGCUGUACACUACAUUUACAUUCUAAUAAAGUGAUUUCUGAUAUAAGACAUUGGUACCAGGGCUUUUAGCCAUACUAAAUAGCAAAACAAUCCUUGCAACACUGCUAGGUGUGUGUUUGUCACUCUGGUGCGUGUAUAAUCCGAACGAUAGCUGUAGCUGCCACUGAACGUGACUUGCACAACACUUGCCUCUGAAAUACCACCAUGGUUCUGUAUGGGCACACAGCAUCUGUGGUACCUCAGAAGUUUACUGUAGAGUCAUUUUUUGGUAAAUUUUGCAGUUUUAAAACUUAUAAAAAGCCGCCACUGUUUCACCUCUUCAUGCUCCAUCUCUAGUACUGCCUUUUGUUCUUUUCUACUGUGAAGACCUGUUCACACCGCUAAGUCCUGUUGGUGUGGAUGUGGAUUUGAGUCCUGGUCGUUCUCUUCUGAUACUCUUAAGAUAUGCAUGUUUUUUUAGGAUUAGUUUACAAUCGAGGGUGCCUAAGCAAUACUGUUUGUUAAUCCAAGUCUUUAAAAUCACAGUUUCCUAAAAUAUGUUUAUAGUUUGCUGGGGCACCCCGAUAGCGAAAUGACAAUGAGAAAUAUCUCAUGAGUUCUGGCAUAACACGGAAACAUAAUGCCAGCUCUUUUUAUCAGAACUAGUUGGUGGUCAUUGUGGCCCUUACUUGAACGUAAAUAUUAAAGACACUUGGAAUAGUUUUUUAACUCAAUUUUAAACUUGUUAAUAAUUUCUUAAUUCUAUUCUUAUAUUUCAGUUCAUCAUCAUUUACAAUAUUCCCUGUAUGUGUGUGCUGUGCUUUGUGUUAGGUGUGCGAGUGUGUCUGCAUGUUUAUAUCUAUGUAUACACAAAUAUAACUUAUAUAUAUCUUAUACAUAUCUUUAUAAAUAUAUAUAUGAGUUGUAUAAGGGUAUGUGUUUACAUAGGUUUAUUUUAAAUAUUCCUGUCUCUGGAUGGUAGGUAUGCCACUAUUUGUAGCUAAGCCAGUCACUGCCGUGAAUGAAAAUACACACACGGGCUGUCUGUGACAUGAAUUUUCUUUUCAUGGGGUGAAUGACUUCCUACUGUAGCUGUUUUAUAAUACGGAGCGCAUGCACGUGUUGGAGGAGGUUGGUGUGCAGAGUUCUGUGUCAAUAGAAGUUUGAAUCAAACGCCCUUUGCUCCUACGUGGGGCUCUUCUCUGUCUUUCUUGAGUGAUACAGACACUGUAAACUCACUCAAAUAAAACCUGAUCUGAGCACUACCUUUCAGACAUGUAUCCAUUCAUUCUCUUCUCAUUUAGCAGAGAGGAUACGCCAUUAAUACCUUCAACUCAGGAGUGUAUUUGUGCAGCAAAAUAAAGCAUGCUGUCUCAUGGCAGCUGCUCUUAUGUUUUCUGAGCAAUGGAUGCAUUUACUGUAGUAAGUAACAGAAAAUUGACUUAGUUCAUUGCCUGUACCGACUACUAAAUGAUCUUUUUUUCCCUUUGCAAGUGGCUCUUUGCAGACAAUGGAGCUGACCUAUGUAGAGAUAACUUAAUCAAUCUAACCAUCAUAUUCCGAACCACCGGCAUCUCCUUUUGUUGUUUUUCAGAUGGAUGGUAUUAACCACCCUGCUUCUUUUUACUACUUUUCAGUGCCUGGAAUGGUUUCAGUAUCCAGUAGCUGCUGCUACCUAUUGUCUUCUGAAAACUAGGAUUGCUUGCCAAGAAUUUGAUUGGAGUUGCAUUGUCAUGGCAGAAUUGCACCCGUGGAUGGCUCUUCAGAGCUCUACUUCUGCAAUUUACUGUAGCUAUAUUAAGAUGAAAAUUGUACCAUUCAGGCACUGUCCCAAGUGACAGAGGUUUCUAAUCUUUUUGCUGUCCAGACUAUUUUGAGAUGGAGGAGCACCAGAGGCAGCAUUCAGACUAUAACCUCUUCCUCUUCUGUUCCAGAAAGCAGUGAACAAUUCAAAAUAUUUGUCAGUGCUGCCAGAUCCAGACUCUUACUGUCAGGGAGACUGAAGGUCUUGUUUUAAACCUUGUUGAGUGUUCUCCUGAUUUGCUGUGAAUUACUCACUCUUCUCCUGAACUUUUGUAGAGUUUGUGCAUCUGUCUUGGGCACUGUAAUGUGUGGUCUUAAUUACAGCCCUCAGUACCUCUGCACAGAAAACCAAACUGCUGCCCAGAGCUGAGCAGUGCAAGAAGACUCUGUUGGAGACCUGCUGUGCCUGCAGGCCUCAACCUGAAUUCCCAGAACAUCUAAUGGAAAUCGGAUUGAAAUCUGAUGGAAAUGGAGUGAACGCCAAAGGAUGGCACCCACAUGACUUCAAGUUGAUGAGUACCCUGUAUUCCAGACAUGCAGUCUUCAGGUGCUGUGCUCUUAUUAGACUAGAAGUCUGGCUUGGAACAGGAGGUGGGGACUGUGAAUGUGCUUGCUGAGGUGUCUGAUGGUCACCAACAACGGUAAGUCAGGACCAGCAUCCUAUGGCGGAGCAGUCCAUUUUGUGUUAGUAACCCAACUGAAGCUUUGGGAUUAUUUCUUGGAUAUUUCUUAUUUUUUCUAUUUGCUUCUCUUAAUGGCCCAGAAGAGCAAUUUUACCCAGCAGUGCAGAGCCCCCUAAAAUACGCAUAACUAUGGACAUUUUAUUUUGAAAAUGCUGGGAAGGAGCACAGCGGUCAUUUUCUUCUCUUUAAGAGAUCUUCAUUUCAAGUAGUUAUACUCUGGUCUGCUUCUUCUGUUUCUGUUUGCCUUACUAAUAACUCUUAAUUCGGUUCUGCUGGCUUUUUUAUAGCUAGCUUUCAUACUGCUAAUGGAUUUAGUAGGAGCUGGCUCUGCUUAUGCUGCUGUUUACUGUCUCUUUGCUGUUUUUAACCAUGAAUUUCCUUUUGAAUCCAUCGCUUUGCCGAGUUCCCUCGUGCUUCCCUGUCACGGUGGCAGUGCAGGGACUGUGGUGAAGAGCUCCCAGCUCCUGCACUUGAGAAGUCAAACAGAUAGGGCUUACUUGUGGUGUGGACUUAGGUUCACAGCAUCUGCUGAGUUAUUCCAAACCAUCCGUGAAAGCGGGACGUCUUCACCUUCACAUGGGUUGGAAAAUCCCAUGCUGUGUCUGUAGCUCUGAGGGGACAGGCUGAUGUGGGAGGGAGGGGUUUCUGUAGGGCCUUUCAGCAUUGCAGUACCUUGUCAGUUGAUCAAAUCCCCAUAGAACGUGAAGUUUUGUGCUGAGAGAGCUAUUAAUCUCUGGCUUAUCCUAUAGUAAUGCAUUGCCUAGACACUAAAAUAAAUAAACUGGAUUGGUAUUCAUAUAUUGGCUGUUACUGGGAAGGGAAGUGCUGUUCUUUGUGAGGAUUGACUGGAAUAUGAGCAGGGAUUAUGCGAUGAGCACAAUGGAUUUAGCUGUCCUGCACUGCUCUGACAGCAGAUUUUUAAUUGUUAAUCCUUAUUUCUUACUUUAGAUCACAUUCAAAUGUCAAUUAGCAUCUGAAGGGAAAAAAAAAAACAAAAGCACUCAGGGCUUAUUUUAUUAGAUUUUCUUUGUUGUUGUAAUAAUGGAUUCUGGUAAUAAUUUGGCAAGAUUUGGUUACACCUGUAUGGGUCUUGUAUCAAGUAUAUGGAUUUGGUGGUAGUGUUGCUGUUUCAAGUGUUCCUAAAGCACCAGGCUGUGGCACUUGCUUCUGACUGGAUGCAUGUGGGGCUGCGGUUGUUCCUGCUGUGAAGUUGGUGUCGGAGGCAGCUGAGAGUCUGCUCACUUCACCAGGGAUCAUCACUUCAGGGCAUGGAGCCGGGUUCCGUGAGAGGCAGCAGACGCAGUGAAAAUCAGAUGUUGUCAAUCUGCUUGUAAUUUUUACAGUUUGUCUUUGAAUGCAGAUGAAACUAAUAAAUAGAGGAGGAAAUGUAGUUUGGCCCAAAGUUUUGACAAGCAGCAAAAAGCAAAUAUUUGCACAGAUGCGCUGGCUGCUGCCUUCCAUUUGGGAUCCUGGUAUGUUAGGAGCAUCUCGUGCUCAACCGAGUGGUUUGUUGGGCUUGGUCAGGGAGGUCAGUGGGAGAAAGGGAUGUGCUGGGUGGGCUGCCCUGAGCCCUGUGGCCUUCCGUCCUGAGCUGCACUCCUGCUGCGACCCACUUCACUGCAGUUGGCAUGCGUUUUACUUUUGUAAUUUUUUAAAAUGGGUUAAUAUAACUUUAUUUUAGGGCAAAUUCUACUUUUUGUAUGUGAUAUUCUGAUGUGAAAUACUUUUUAUUUUGCAGAAAAUAAUGUUUAAGCCACCAUGUACCUGUCAGCGUAACACGCCCUCUGUAUUGUUUAACACUGGAAUCUCGCCGUGAUGUGCGUGUCUCUUUACAUACUGCUUGUUGCACAUUAAAGAAGUCACUCAGCUGUGCUGCCAUCAGUGUUCAUUAAUUCAUACGGCUCCCCAAGGGAAUCACUUAUUUCUGCUAUAAAAUCAAUGAAAAGUGCUGCAGGUACCGCUGCACAGUGGAGCAUCCUCAGUGUGAAGGGCUGAGCCCCAUCCCUGGGGGCAGAGAUCACCUUCUGGUUCUGGUUUCCUGUCUCAAGAUGCUGGGAGCCGUCUGGUUUGCUAUUUUGGAAGGGCCACCCUUCAUCAUCCCUUUGCUCGUGUUUAUUCUUCACCUGAUUGAAACAAGACCCAACUGGGAUCCGUGUUUAUGUUCUAGGACUGGCUCUUCAAUAACAUCCCAGCCACGGACAAGUUUAAAAUAGCAUCACCUCCUCUCAGUGUCGGGAAGAUCUCUGUCAGCCUUGGUGGUGGGGAGGAGCUGGGCCCAGCUAUUCUUAGCAGCAACCUCUUUCCAGCCUAUAUAUGGGAGCUGGAGGCCACACUGCUCCCAGGCGCAUUUAUUGCCACGGUGCUGCAGCAGUCUGUGCUGGAGGGAUUAGGGCCAGGGCGUGGCUCAGACCUGAGCUGGCAAGCCUUCUCUGCUCAGCCUUGCUCUGGGAGAUGUUUUGCCCGCUUUUUAUUUAAUCUUUCCAGCCAUUGGCAUCUGCCACGUGGCCGCCCCACAGCAUGAGGAGGUCCCAGUCCAAGUGAAGCCAACAGCAAUAUGAGCAUGUAAAUGGGGUGCAGCAAAAAGAGAAUUUCCGUGAAGAGCCCUAUGAAAAAUUUGUGGUUGCUAAGAAAUGUUGAAAGCAGAAAACAAUAACGUGGCUGCUGCCAGAGCAAUAAGAGCGCAUCGGUGCUUUGCCUCUCAUGCGCAGCGCUUGCUUGUGACAGUAAAUUAAAUACUGCAGAGAUGAUUUUCUCCGUGGCCAUUGAUGCUUCACAUCACAGAAAUAUCAAACGGUGCUGCUGGAGGUGGUUCAUUACCCGGUGCAGAGAAGCGGAGCACUCUGCAGUUCCCCCAGCAGUGGGCAAUAGCUGUGGGCUCUGUGGUUCUCCCCAUGUCUGAUGACUGGAGGAGGGCACUACUUGUCCUCACCUCAGUGCUGGGAAUGAGGUGAGGUGGCUGUGGUGGGGCUUUGGUGUUUGGAAGUGGAGUGGGGCAGUCCUGAAAGCUGCCUUGCUGUGAUUAACCGAAGCUUGGCUGCUAAGCAGAGUGCAGUGACAAUUCCACACGAGUGAAGUUCUAUGAAUGAACUAAAGAAAACAUGUCAAAAUGCAUUUCAGCUGUUAGCAAAACAGCAUUUUUAAUGACUCUCCAAAGCCUUUGGUAAUUGAGCUGUGUGUUUGAGAGCGUGCAGUCUUGCACGUACACUGGAGAGGGAGAAGCACUGGGAACUGUGCAGGAAGGAGUUUGUGGUCUGGGGCCUCUGACCAGAAGUUUGGGAUGGACAACAUGGGAGUGAGGUCAGAUGCAGAACCCCCUGGAGCCAUCCCAUAGACCUGUAGGCACUGUGUCAUUACAGAUAUCUUCGACUGCCACAGCUGUCCCUACAGGAAGCAGAGGCAGGACUCGGGGGCCUCUUCAGCGGAGGACAUCAGCCCUAAACAGCCCUGUGCUGGGACAUUCUACAGCUGCUGCUCCAAGCAAAGCCUCUGCACUGAAUGUGGAGCACCCCUGCUUCCUACACUGCCAACAGACCCUUGCUGUGACUGCCCAUUGCAAGAGAAGAACUAGGUCCAUUUAGAGGGCUGGUAAGAAGGAGCAUUUCAAUGAAGUGGUAACCAUAUGCGCUACCCUUAAAGCAUCUGUCCUCCAAUAGCUGACAAAAUAUCCACCUUCUGAGCACAAUGGCAGUAAUGACCUAUCUUGGUGAGCUGAACAUUUAAGUAACUUCAACUGCUACAUGGGAGCUUUCUUUGGGGAAAAAAGCCAAGCAUGGAAAAAUGCUUAAAGUGAAGGAAAAAAAAAAAAACAUAAAGGAAAAAUGGAAAAUGAAAAAAAAAAAAAUUGCAAGAUUUGACUCACUCACAACCCCUAAACUCCAGCUGCAAUUCUGUGAUGUGCACGAUGACGGCAGAAUGUGUCGGUGCUGAAAGGGAAGCUCAGAGGUGGCUCAAAUUUCACAACAGUGAGCAUGACUGUGGGAGUCCCAUAUUCUUCUGACUCCUCCACUGGGAGCUGAAGAAUUCCAGCCAGGCAGUCCGCAAAGUAAACGCAUUCAGCCCCUGGGCCACAUGUUUGUUGAGUGACUUACAGCCAAGAUUUCCAGUGUUUUGUGGGGAGUAGGCAGUUUGAUUCCCUCUCUUUCACCUGCUGAAGCUGAAACAGAAGCAAGGUGAGCUGCUGAUUCAGAACAGCUGCUGGAAAUGAUAAGCACCAAGCCUAAGGCAUCCUUGAGGCAGUGCAAAUAACCCCACUUCAUUACAAAUAUCCUACAGCCUUCAAUCACUGCAAACUGAAGUAAAAAAAAAAAAAAAAGAAAUUUAAAAGUGGGAGGCUACUUUAUGCUUGCCUUCCGGUCAAACAAUCGUAACACAGGCUUAUAGAGCCAUGUUGGCUUUUCCUUGCAGGAAAAGCAAUGCACUUGCCUUUCUUCAUUUCCUACUGGCUAUCUGCAUGAAAGAGAAGAACACAUGGCCCCAGCCAGACCUCCAACAAGCAACUGCAAAGGAAGAGCACUGAGAAACUGUUGACUUAUGGCAAAAUCUGAAAGAAAGCAAAGACAAAACACUCAGUACACAGCUGAGCUGACAGCCAUGCGCGGGCAUGGCAGUCGUCCGGGUAAGAUGCAGACAACACAUCCAAGCUCAGGACUACGUGGAGCUCAUGCGCAUUUCGGGGUGUACUUUUAUCUCAUGCUUGGUAUUGCAUCAUUCUAAAAUCCUUAGCAUCAGGAGUUCGUUAUAAAUAUUUAGAAACACUGAAUGAUAACAGUGGUUGACUUGUUCACGUUGCUAACACGUUUGAUGUAAUUGUACAUUAAGCACCAGCAAUAAGUUUCCUUUUUGCCAAACAAUUAUGUCAGACAAACAUCUGGCUGUAAACAACAUGGCUUCUGCAUUAAAAUAAUACAGUUCUCAUAGACACAGUCACACACGUACACAAAAUUACAUUUCAAGGCUGUAUAUAUUGUUUAAUAACGCUACUGCCCCAAUUCACUUCAAUAGCUGCAGCAGCAGUUGUUUGUUGGGUUGGUUUUGUUCAGAAAAAUUAAGGAAAUAUUGGCAAACAAUGCACAUUACUCAGCUGUGUUACUAUUUCAUAGAGUACUGACUGGAAGACGCUAUAAGAAUGUGCAGCAGACUUUCUGGGUCACGUCAGACUAUGGAAACAUUCCUUACAAAACACUCUCCCCUUUAAAGUCAGAAUUAUUCACUCUUUGAAAAGUAUACAAACUAAAAACAGACAAUAAAAGAAGAGUAAAAAUUAGCCCAAAGCAUGGUGAUUUCCCACAGAGAAGAGCACGGCCUCCAAUGUUGUCUUUCCUUGCGGACACAAUCAGGAUCAAAGCUAGAACAAAAAGAGUUAACACUGUGUCAGAAGCAAAAUGAAAGAAUGGAAGAAAAAAAGCCUAUGGCUCUUGUGCGGCAAUCAUCAUAUUUUUUUUCCAGUGAUACAAACAUCUUUGUUUGCUAGGCACUCCAAGUUCAUGUCUCCGAUGUUAUUCCAACGUUUACUUUCCUCAGUAUCUCACUGCCAGUAUAAUUUCCUUUGAAUUAAGACUGGAAACAUUCUGGAAAGCUUCUUUGGGUAAUGCACUUUAUUUGUAUGUUGUUUCUUACCAGCUCAAUUGCAUAUUACCAAAGAAGGCGGUGGAGAUUAUUUCCUGCAGUAUGAAAAGAUUCUGUUGAAGAUGCAGGAACGUUGCCCUAGAAAGUUACUUUUUUUUUUCUUUUUUCUUUUUUCUUUUUUUUUC